AUCGCAAGAGGCUAUAGAAUCGUAAAACCUAGAAACCCAGACGAUCCAGCAAGCUUAUCGGCCACAAUGCUGCGGACAUAAUCGUGAUAGCCUGCAUUGAAGCGUUCGAAUCGUUGUUGAGAGAGCAGAGAUGGUUCAUGGAGUCAACUGAAUUGCUCGCAUUUGAUUCAUCGUGCCGCUAAUAUCGUUUGGUUGAACUCUUCACUCUUCCCAAUUCUCUAUUUCAUCGAUCCAGAUACCUCAUUCUUCCCAAUUCAAUUCCUUAAACACCACUCCGCUGCAUAUGACGUUGCCUUUCUCGAAAGGUGUCGACUUUGUUUCAUUCCAACGUUAUUGCGCUUCUGGUAUGUCGUUUUUCUCCAACUGUUUCGGUGGUGAAAAGCCCUGAUCGACCAUCUUUUAUUGCACUUCUGGAGCAAUGGCUAUCGCGGCCCCUGGGCAGCUGAACCUUAAUGAGUAUCUUCAUAGGGAAGUGUUGAUUGCUUCAAAAUGUUGGAGCAGAUUGGCGAGGGAACUUAUGGAUGGUAACAAAUAUAAAGAUGGUAUCUAUAUGGUAUUUGAAUACAAGGACCAUGAUUUGAUUGAUCUUGCAGAUCGACCUGGAAUGAGAUUUACAGCUCCAAAGCAAGCUUUUGACGGGGCUUCAUUAUUGCCAUGUGAAUCAAGUACUUCAUCGUGAUAUAAAAGGCUCCAAUCUUCUUAUAGACAAUGAAGGCAAUCUGAAGCUUGUAGAUUUUGGACUUUCACAAUCAUUUUCUAAAGACCACAAUGCAAAUCACCUCCUAGAAGCUCCCAAAACAAAUCCUAGUAGUCCCAAUGUUGUGCUCCCUCAAGUUCUCCCGUUUUCUUCCUAUCUGUUCAGCCCCCGAUCAUGUUUGAUUUAACUAAACUUUGCAUUGUCUGUUGUGACGCAUAGUGCAUUUGUUGUGGCAGAUGGUAUAGAGGCCCAACUCAUGAUUUAGGUCCUUCACUUGGGCUCAGUCGGCCAAAUAUCCAUCAUAGCCCAAUCUUAAGGUUGUCUAACAUUCCAAUAAGUCCAUUAGUGAUUCAAAAGCAUGAUUAACUUAACUAAUAACCAAUUUUCUAAUUUACCUUCAAUUAUCUCAUAAAUCUCAGAUUAAAAUUUUUUGAGAUAUUACAUA